GUGACAGAGAACAAUGGUUCGAGAACUGUAGUUCCCGUGUUUUUGAAGGCUCGAUGUGGGCAUGGUAUAUAUAACUCAGUAUGGGAUUCUCAUGCUUUACAGGCAUAUAUGUAUCUGGGUGAUGUUGUGCAGCAAGUGACAGUGUCUAGGAAACAUCCCCAGAACAUCACAAAAAUAUCUGCGCUCCUGAUUUGGGGAGAGGAUGUGCUGCAUGGCCCAGAGGAAGCUCACGAGCAUCUCUCACCUGAGGAACCAGCCACCAAAUUUGUCGACAGUUUACAUGGUACACAGGAGGCAACUCUGCCCUGGGCAGGCCAGGAAAGAUGCUGGGCUCCACAGCUUCCUUUUCUGUUGACUGGCAAGAUGGUGCUUUGUCAGGUUAAUGAAAAUAUGGAACGCGUACUCUAAAGAGAGCUGGAAAGCAACGUGAAGUCCAGACUGGUAAGUGAAACAAGCAAACUUGAUAAGGUUUGUCCUUCCGUACAUAGAGCACUGCAGACUUUAUCCCCAGAAUAUCUUAAAGAAGAUAGGGUAGAAAGUAUUUAACAAAUAGUGUGCUGUCAUUUGAAAAACAAAACCAGAUGGUGGUGUUAAUGUAUCCAGUGACUUAAAUAUAAUGCCAUGUGUCUGCAGGAAAACAAUAACCCCCACACAGCACAAUCCUGCAAACCUGAAGUAAAAUUCACCAAGGAGUUGUCUUAUGAAUGAGAGGAAAGAAACAGCACCCCGUGGCCUCACUCCUCAGGACGAGUAUUGGAGGUGAGCAUUGGAUGGUAACCAUCAGCAUUACCAACCUCACGCAGGUUGGGGAGGAGGAGCAGGUUUUCCUCUCCUAUAGCGAGCAAAGGGGUCCUCCAGGCUCUCUGUAGCCACCACCUCGAACCCCAAGUUGCAGAGCCUCUGUCUGCAUGCACACCUUUGUUUUAUUUAGCCACCCAUCUGCCUUUUUCUCUUCAAAGGCCCUGCACCUACUGCUGCAGCUGAGCUGCAUCCCCCAGCUUCUGGAGGAUUUGGAGCACAUGCAGGACACCUCUACGCUUGACCUCAGUACGUGAACAUGCAGGAGGAAUUUCCCCUCCACAUUUAUUAUCCCUGGUACCACAGUCAACAGUUGGCUGGGUAACUGAGUAAAUUUACUUGAACUCUUUAUUUCCCAGGUCUUAUUUUUCUAAGGAAGGCAAUAAAUCAAUGACAGGAAAAGUACUCACCAGGCAGAAAUUGGGUAGCUCCAUGACUUAAUCAGCACUGAUUAAUGCCGGUCGGGAAUCUAUCUCUGCAUUUCUUUGGAAUACAUUUUGGAAAGUCUACUAGUUCCUAACAGAGUUUCGCAUGAAAAAUUAAAUUACUUUCAUAUUCCUGCCUCUCCUUCACUAGUAAGUUCCUUGAGGCUCACUCCACCUUCCCGUGCAGGCACUACAAGGCUCCCUUGAGA
rnacentral:lncRNA from 1 species